GAUGAACGCUGGCGGCGUGCCUAAUACAUGCAAGUCGAGCGAACAGACGAGGAGCUUGCUCCUCUGACGUUAGCGGCGGACGGGUGAGUAACACGUGGAUAACCUACCUAUAAGACUGGUAUAACUUCGGGAAACCGGAGCUAAUACCGGAUAAUAUAUUGAACCGCAUGGUUCAAUAGUGAAAGACGGUUUUGCUGUCACUUAUAGAUGGAUCCGCGCCGCAUUAGCUAGUUGGUAAGGUAACGGCUUACCAAGGCAACUAUGCGUAGCCGACCUGAGAGGGUGAUCGGCCACACUGGAACUGAGACACGGUCCAGACUCCUACGGGAGGCAGCAGUAGGGAAUCUUCCGCAAUGGGCGAAAGCCUGACGGAGCAACGCCGCGUGAGUGAUGAAGGUCUUCGGAUCGUAAAACUCUGUUAUUAGGGAAGAACAAAUGUGUAAGUAACUAUGCACGUCUUGACGGUACCUAAUCAGAAAGCCACGGCUAACUACGUG
rnacentral:rRNA from 1 species